UGUCCAAUGGCUUUAAAAAGCAGCUUUUCAAAAUAAAUAUUCUCAUCUCCAUUUAAAAGUCUUAAUUAAUAUUUUAAGCAUCUUCCACCGAAGGUUUCCACGACAACCAUUAACGACCUCUAUUUUGUUUAUUUGUUUAAUUUGAGGAAAUAUUAUUAGUUGCUUGUAAACUGCUUACCAACCAAAUGGACUUAUAGUAUAUAUGCAAUUAUCAGUUAAUGGCUCAACGUUUUGACACUAGCAGAGUCUUUUUCGAGGGCCAAAUGAAAGGGAAAGACUCUGGUCAAAACAUCGGACCAUUCACUAUUUUUUGCAUUUUUUGUAUUUGAUUUCUUAGUGUAUUCAUUCAUAUUUUUUUAAAAAGGUAUGGGCAUUUCACUCUACUCUUGACAUAAGAGCAGCCAUCUUGGGCUGUAGCAGAAUAUUAAAUUAAUAACCCAUUGACGACGCAGAGCGCUUUUUAUAAAACAUAACAAAAAGAUUAAUGACAGAUCCCCUAACAGACGGCAACUUAACUGUCUGGUGAGCACUACACUUAACUGCCAGGAGUCGUUAACUUUGUGUACAUUUUGACUCCUAAAAUGGCAGACUGGAUAGGUAUGUGUAAGUGUGCAGCGUGGUAUGCAAUGGAUCCAUACCAUUUUUUUGUAAAAGUCUGACCCAACUUAGUCAUCCUUGAAAUAGUUGCCGUUAUGAUGGAGAUCAUUUCUAUUUGUUUUUCUCUUUUAAAAUAAACCCCCCAAUUAUUACAGAUCAUAGCACAAAAUCUUCUCAAGUAAAAAGCGGGAAAACACUUUUGUAAUUACAAACCGUGUAAAUUGUGUGACCUGCCCUGAAAUUUAGAAAAAGUGUAAAAAAUAUAAAAAGAAUGAUAUAUAGUUUACAUAGAUAAAUGCAUAAUGGAAGUAUAGUGUUCUGAUGGGUGUGUAGGGAUGAGAUUUAAUGAAACCCUAACAUCAGGAAAAAUUAUGAAACUGUCAUACCUGCUCAGCCCUCUGGCAAAACAGCCUCACUGACAAAUUUUGGUUUCUUAUUUAAGUUGAUUUCUGGGUAAAUUGAGGGCCUUUUUUCCAUUUCAAAGUUUCAAAGAUAACAUUGCCUCAUUGCAGGUAUUCUACAUUAAACUACAUUCAAAUGAAUGUGCCUCAUUGCAGGUAUUCUACAUUAAACUACAUUCAAAUGAAUGUGCCUCAUUGCAGGUAUUCUACAUUAAACUACAUUCAAAUGACUCUUUAAGCCCAUUAUAUAUAAAGCAGCUAAAAAAUAAACUACUAUUGUGUCAUCUUGGUGAUCGAUAGUUGCUGAAGUAUUUAAAACAAUGUAACACAUAAGGUUGCAGCCAAAAGUUAGUUAAAAUGUAACAUCAAAUUUGAAAAGGAUAACUUUGAGUUUUAAACAUAAGGUUGCAGCCAAAAGUUGGUUAAAAUGUAACAUCAAAUUUGAAAAGGAUAACUUUGAGUUUUAGUUUCUAUAGUAUAUACAGUUUGCAUGUAGUUCCUUUGUAGUUACUUUGCAAACACUAAUUGAAAAUUAAUGAAGUAAAAACAACAAAUUGUUCCCAUGCUCUUCAGUCAUGGUCAGGGGUGGGUUUCUUAAAGAGUUAACACUAGUCUUAUCUCAAGUUAGGACAAGUUACUUGUCUUAACUUAGGACUAGACUUAUGUUUUUAAGUUAGGACUAUUCCUAACUCUUUGUGAAAUCGCUCCCUGGUUUCCGUUUUAAUAGCAGAUGCCAACACUCUCAUAGGUUUGCCAUAACAAUUUUUGAGUGUCCAAUUAUGUACUGAAAUUAAACCCAAUGAUAUGGAUUGAUUGUAUUGAUUUUAUACACAAGUGUAUAAAUAAGGCGUGUUUAAACUCCUCAAUAUUGCCUCUGUAGCCGUCAGUCAUAGCCAUAGUCGCUUGAAUCUGACUCGGCUAACUAUUCUGAUUGGCUCAUUCUUACAUAGACUGGUGCCAUGUUAAUAUCCCAAUAAUACAUUGUUAUUAGAAGUAAGCGGACAAUAUAGCUAUGGUAACCAUCUUGUUUUUCUCCCAUUUAAAGGGGCUGUACAUGUAAUUAUGAACUCUUACUGCAAGCUUGUUUGGGCUCUCCAUAGAUAUUAGAGAGUUUUCGUUUUCUACGACGGAUGGUUCUGCAUUGUUGAUUUCAGCACAAUGCAGAUUCAUCCCAAGUACUGUCAGAGAAAUUGAGGGAUGACCAUCCCCAUGCGCAGAGGACACCAAACGUCAUCAUGAUCAUUGCAGAACCAUCCGUCAUCGAAAACGAAAGCUCCCUAUGGAGUGAAGGUGCGCAGUAACCGGGUGAGAGUUUAUAAUUCCUUGUUUAACCACAGGUCUGCUUUGAUCAUAAUGACAUUACCUGUAAGUCAGUUUCUAUCCGAAUGAGGCGGUAAUGGUCCUCAAUGAACCAGGCAAUAUUGCAUGAAGAUUAUAGAAAUACAAAGCUAAGAAUGUUGAGUAUUGUGGUCCGACUGACUCAAUAGAGCUUUGUGUGUCUGCUAGUUAUCGAGUAUCAAGAUCAUGUUAUUUCACAUUAAGCAUUCAUCUGAAGUUUAGUUUCCAAUAUCUGCUUGAACAGCAAAUUAUUACUGCUGAGCAAUACACCAGGACACCAGUUACAGAUUGUACAUGUGGGAUGGUAUUUUGGCUGGUUACCUUUUUCUGCUUAGCAUUUUUGGUAUGCUUAGCUAUUUUUGUGCAUAAGCAGCUGAAUUAAAAUAUGCCCAGGAACACACUUAGUAUUCUCAGAGUGCUAUUUAUAAAUCAAGUAAAAGGCUAAGAAUUUUUAUUUUAGUUUCAUCUUCCCAAACAUAUUUUAUUGAAAGAGAUUUGGUUUUGUUUGUAAAGGAUUGCAUAAAUGUAAGAAAAAGAUAGAAACAAGACUGAAUGGUUAUAAAAGGAAUGUUGGAAAGAGAGUAAUAAUAAGUAAAAUGCAUACUGUGCAUUUAUGUCAAA